GAAUUUUGGACAAUGGGGGCAACCCUGAUCCAGCCAUGCCGCGUGUGCGAAGAAGGUCUUCUGGUUGUAAAGCACUAGAAGCAGUGAAGAUGACUCCAUGGUGAAUACACAUGGACGCUGACAUUACCUGCAGAAUAAGCCACGGCUGACUCUGUGCCAGCCACCGCGGUAAUACCGAGGGUGCAAGCGUUAAUCGGAAUUACGGGGCGUAAAGCGAGCGUAGGUGGCUUGAUAAGUCAGAUGUGAAAUCCCCGGGCUUAACCUGGGAACUGCAUCUGAUACUGUUAGGCUAGAAUAGGUGAGAGGAAGGUAGAAUUCCAGGUGUAGCGGUGAAAUGCGUAGAGAUCUGGAGGAAUACCGAUGGCGAAGGCAGCCUUCUGGCAUCAUAUUGACACUGAGGUUCGAAAGCGUGGGUAGCAAAC
rnacentral:rRNA from 1 species